UCCGUAGGUGGAUAAUUAAGUCAGAGGUGAAAUCCUGCAGCUCAACUGUAGAAUUGCCUUUGAUACUGGUUAUCUUGAGUCAUUAUGAAGUGGUUAGAAUGUGUAGUGUAGCGGUGAAAUGCAUAGAUAUGACACAGAAUACCGAUUGCGAAGGCAGAUCACUAAUAAUGUACUGACACUGAGGGACGAAAGCGUGGGGAGCGAACAGGAUUAGAUACCCUGGUAGUCC
rnacentral:rRNA from 1 species